AAAAAACAACCAGGGAGCCUUAGGGCUGAGAGGAAGUCUGACUUCGACCUGUAUUACCUGAUUUGGAUUAUGCCAACGUAGGGAGUUUAUACCAGCAUUUA
rnacentral:ncRNA from 2 species